CCCGGGAAUCGCCUAGGCAGUACGCAGGAGCGCAACUCGGGAGGCCAAAAAUAAGCGGCCGGUGAGGGUCACCGUGCCCCGCCGCCGGCUGCCCGCGCUCCCCGCGCCCCCGUCUCCUGGAGCCCGCGCGGCCGCUGACUUUCCCCGCAGGAAUGUGAGUCCCAGGAGAGCAGGAUCUGGAGCAUCCCUAGCGUCUAGCACAGCACCUCGCGUGUGAGUGUGGCAGGUGUGCGGCGAAUGCCUGUUGGUCAAACACGUGGAUUCUGAGUUCCGUGUGCCUAGCAGGCUGUGCCCUGGUCACCAUGCAGGACGGAAAGCUGAGGAACAAGGCCUCUGCCGCUCCGGGGUGCCUGCUGAGCUGGUUCCGUGGCAGUGGGACAGGUCCCCGGCAGCCAGGCUGUGAGUGCCACCCCCGCUGGAAUGUCUGAAGAUAAGAAAAAGCUGAGCACACCCUAGCCAGGAGCAGAAGGCACUUGGAGCCCACGUGGUCCGGCUGCUUCUGAUAAGUGAGUCCCGCUGCCCAGACCCGCCGGUGACGCCACUCUGAACCUGACCCCUGCUCACGCGCACUGCUCAGCGUGCACCGUGAGUCGCUCGGGGCGCUGAUCUGUAGCUGGCCCAUGCUAGAAGGGACCCGGGUGUCCUGCAGCUGCUCAGUGGCUCUACAAAGCGGCACACUGCACGCAGGGCGUGCUACUCAGCCAGGGAGAGGGGUCAGCCGGCCACACGAGCAGCGGCGGAGCAGCCGCAAAUCCACAGUGCUGAGAGGGAGCUGGGAAAUGGUCCCAUUUCCGCGAUAUCUGGGAACGGCAAAGUUAUCCGCGGGGAGAAAAAACCGGUGGGUGCCCGAGGCGCAGGGUGGGCACAGCGUGGGAACCCAGUGGGGACUGUGGCAGAGCUCCUAGAAGCAGACCCUUUUGCCAAAGCUGAAAGGGGUGGGCUUUGUUGUCUGCAAAUUACACCUCGAUGGGGCUGGCGGGGACUACGAUCGAUUCUGCUUUGUAUCCGAGACACGUGGUAGAUACAAACGGAGACGGGCAGCACACGGGGAGGAACUGCAAUAGCCGCAAGUGUCCACUGGGCAGCCACCCUGCGGCCACCAGCAGUCCGGAGUGCUGGACCUUUGCGAGGUGAGGAAGCCUGGCCCCGAGCAGUGGAGAGUCGUGCCCGGGGCAACACGGCCAGUAAUGGCAGAGCUGGGAGGGCUGUGACCCAGCUGGGUGGCGGUCUGGACCCACUCACCACUGGGCAAGACUGCCUCCCCUCGCCCCGCCCCUGCGUGCCAGCUGGGGCCACACAGGGGUUUGGAUCUGGUGGGGUGACCUUGGACAGACCAUGGGCCUCGCAGGGCUUAACCUUCCUUAUCCACCAAAGCAGACAUCGAACAAAACACUGUUUCCGGACAGAAUGCCAGGACAGGUGCCUCUCCAGGGCACUGUGGCAGGGACAUGAGCUGAAUGCUCCGGCGCCUCCCCAGCCAGGACGGGGUGGGGAACAUGGGCCCCACUCCCUGGCCGGCUGCGUGCUGCCGGCUCAGUGGCCUGGAGCCCCAGGGAGGAGGCCCCAGCUUCCGAGCUGAGCCUGCAUGUCCCCAGUCACGGGAGGACAGCAUUUUUGCUCUUGUGACUAUAGAAAUAAUGCAUGGCAUUUGAAAAGUGCAGCUACCACGGAGGCAUCUGAAGACAGCGGGCUUGAGGGGCACUUGGUAGCCCUCUGGAGGAAGAGUAUGAAAGACCCGGCAGCCUGGGCCUCGCCUGGCUCGGUGGUCAGGGACACAGCCUCGUGUCCGCCCUGGCGGGAGCCCACAACCAAACCACUCACCUGGAAGAGGUGGCGAGCCGGCACCUACUGCUGCUGUGGCUAAGAACGAAAGGGGACAGGCCCCUCCUGCGCCUCCAGCACGCAGUGGCAGUCCCGCGGUGGCUGCUUCCCUGGCCAUCCUGCCCUUGCCCACAUGGCGGGUACUGCCCGCCCUGGGCAGCAUCGCGACACCUGAGGCCUGUCGCGUGGUUCCCACAGCACACGUCCGGCAGAGCUUACCUGGUGAGCACUCUUCUGGGGUCCUCCUGGGGACCUGUCACCACAGUGUGCAGUGAGUGAGUGCCCUCACGUGGGAGCCUUGUUGCUCUGGGCUACUUCCUGUAACCCAAGGUCAAGGACAUGCAGGUGGCAUGCUGGGCACACGUGGUUGGGGGGCAUGUGGUUAGAGCGUGCGGUGUUCAGGCCUCUGCCCUCGGAUCCCUUCCUUCUGUCUCAUUCACAGUUUAACCCCCAACCAGCCACAGGGCCACGGCUCCCAUGCAUCUGCCUGCAGCCCAGGGCCGUUCCCCGAGCCCAGACGCCCGUCUGCUUGCUGUGGCCAUGAGUGGCCCCAGAGCUGUUUCGCGGCCACAUCACAGCCAGUGCUUGCAGCUGCCCACGAGGCUCCUUCUGCCUUCCCAUUUGCCCUAGCAGUGACUCCUGCCUCGGCGUCCCCUCCCCCACGGUCACUCUCUAUGGGAAACCUGUCCUCACCACCCCCAGAGUAAAUCCAGAACCCCCUUCCUUCUCACCCCCUUCACUGCUCCCUCCCUGGCGCGAGUCACCACCCGCCCACCUGCAUGGUUCUUACCUCAGCCACCUCGGCCCUGACAGUGUCCAUCCACGGCAGCAGGGGGCGCCUGAGAGCCUGGGAAAGGCCUCGUGUCUGCCUCCCCUACCCAUCCCACCUUUGGGAUGACCUCACAGCUUCUCCUGUCACUCUGCUCCAGCCGCAGGAUUCUUUACAGGCGCCAGGAAGGCUCCCACCUCAGGACCUUUGCACUGGCUGUGGCCACCACCUGGAAUGCUCUUCCCUCAGAUACCUGCAUUGCCCCCCCCCCCCAAUUCUCCACUGGAGCUGUUUUCCAACCAUCAGCUUCUCAGUGCGGCCGACCUUAAUCUUCCUGUCGAAGCUCCUGCCUCUCUCUCCCCCCCUCUCUCUCACACACACCGUCUUCCCCCAACUCCUUCUUGUUUGUUUCCUGCCCAGUUGCCCUGCUUUGCUUGGAAUGGGGGUGGUUCUUGGGACUUGAGACUUUAAAACUGGGACCGUCCAGCGUGGCGGGUGGGAGGCCUGGGCGCUGGCUGGUGGCCUUCCUUGCUGGAACACAAGCUCCACGAGGGCAGGACCUGCGGCAGCCCCGGGACAGGAACGCAGGGGCUCUUGUCCAGAGAGGCUUGGCCGGGCUUCUCAAACAACCCCACGGUGGGCUGCGGCCUCGGCUGGGGGGCAGGGGCCCAGGCUUGGCCCAGUUCUCCUUCUUCCAGGGCAGCCAGCCUGCUGGGCACAGCUGAGGGUGUCCCCGCCCCUCCCAUGGUCUCUCAGGAAGACGCAGCAGCGGGGCUAGGCAUGCCCCAGAGAGCGCCUGCCCUCCCCUCUUCUGCCUUUUCCCUCCUGUCUCUCGCCCUUUGCAAUUCUCUUUCCUCCCCUUUGUUCUCCUCGCUCUUCUCCCUCUCUGCCCUGUUGUUCCACUCCCUGACUGGGGCCUCUGGGCUACGACUCAGUCCUGGCUGUGUGACCCCGAGUCGCUCACUGCGCCUCUCUGAGCCUGUGUCCUCUUGAUGGUGAAAUGAGACAACACACGGAGAACACGCGGCAUUGGCCCCACAGAUGCUCUAUUAUUAUUAUUAUUAUUAUUAUUUAAAGAUUUAUUUAUUUGAAAGGCAGAGUUACAGAGAGGCAGAGUCAGAGAGAGAGAGGUCUUCCAUCCACUGGUUCACUCCCCAAUUAGCUGCAAUGGCCAGAGCUGGGCUGAUCUGAAGCCAGGAGCCAGGAGCUUCUUCCAGGUUUCCCAUGCAGGUGCAGGGGCCCAAGGACUUGGGCCAUCCUCCACUGCUCUCCCAGGCCAUAGCAGAGAGCUGGAUCGGAAAUGGAGCAGCCAGGACUUGGAUCAGCGCCCAUAUGCGAUGCCGGCACUGCAGGCGGCAGCUUUACCUACUAUGUCAUGGUGCCGGCCCUUAUCAUUAUUGUUGUUUACUGUGACUGCUGGCUCAUUAUUGUUGUUGUUUACUGUGACUGCUGGCUCCGGCACCGCACAGGGGUUCAGCCCCUUCUUUGCCUCAGGUAACCCAGGUUGCAUGUUAGGCUUGUGCAGCUACUUCUAGAAAAUUCUCCCACUUCCCCAUCCCAGACCAAUUAAGUCAGAAAUCCU